rnacentral:rRNA from 1 species
GAUGAACGCUGGCGGCGUGCCUAAUACAUGCAAGUCGAGCGAACAGAUAAGGAGCUUGCUCCUUGGACGUUAGAGGCGGACGGGUGAGUAACACGUGGGUAACCUACCUAUAAGACUGGGAUAACUUCGGGGAACCGGAGCUAAUACCGGAUAAUAUUUCGAACCGCAUGGUUCGGUAGUGAAAGAUGGGUUUUCUAUCACUUAUAGAUGGACCCGCGCCGUAUUAGCUAGUUGGGAGGGUAACGGCGUACCAAGGAGAAGAUACGUAGCCGACCUGAGAGGGGGAGCGGCCAGACGGGGAUGAAGACCCGGCCCAGACUCCUACGGGAGGCAGCAGUGGGGAAUUUGCGGAAAUGGCCGAAAGCUUGACGGACCAACGCCGCGGGAGUGAAGAAGGUUUUCGGUUCGUAAACUUCUGUUGUCAGGAAAUAAUGAUGGGGCAGUAACUAUACACGUCAGAGCCGGUACCUAACCAGAAAGCACCGGCUAACUACGU